rnacentral:rRNA from 1 species
CCCUUAGAUGUUCUGGGCCGCACGCGCGCUACACUGACGAAGUCAGCGAGCAUGUCCUACGCCGACAGGUGCGGGGAAUCUUGUCAAACUUCGUCGUGAUGGGGAUUGAUUAUUGAAAUUCUUGAUCAUCAACGAGGAAUUCCUAGUAAGCGCAAGUCAGCAGCUUGCGUUGAUUACGUCCCUGCCCUUUGUACACACCGCCCGUCGCUCCUACCGAUUGGGUGUGCUGGUGAAAUGUUCGGAUCGGCCGUUUGUCGCGGUUUCCGCGGCUCGUGGCUGAGAAGUUCAUUAAACCCUCCCACCGAGAGGAAGGAGAAGUCGUAACA